rnacentral:misc_RNA from 1 species
GUCUCUCUCUCUCUCUCUCUGGCCUCAACUGUACUUAAUUGAUAGCCAGCGUGCCUGUUUUCCAUUCUGGAAACAAGGAAGAAAAAGUUGAUAAAUCAAAGCCUAGCAAAGGACAGGCUUUGAAAACUUAGUCUGUCAUUUGGGUCAUAGACGGAUCUGUGAUCGGUUUCUUCAAUCCUUUUACUCGAAAGAGACGUCUCAGAACGAGGUUGGUUUGAUAGUGGCAUAUUACGUUUCUCUUCUUUAAUCUUGUUCGUGAAAAUCAUAUUCAAACUCUGCUCUUUUUGUUUUCAA